AGAGUUUGAUCCUGGCUCAGAUUGAACGCUGGCGGCAUGCCUUACACAUGCAAGUCGAACGGCAGCACGGGGGCAACCCUGGUGGCGAGUGGCGAACGGGUGAGUAAUACAUCGGAACGUGUCCUGUAGUGGGGGAUAGCCCGGCGAAAGCCGGAUUAAUACCGCAUACGCUCUACGGAGGAAAGGGGGGGAUCUUAGGACCUCCCGCUACAGGGGCGGCCGAUGGCAGAUUAGCUAGUUGGUGGGGUAAAGGCCUACCAAGGCGACGAUCUGUAGCUGGUCUGAGAGGACGACCAGCCACACUGGGACUGAGACACGGCCCAGACUCCUACGGGAGGCAGCAGUGGGGAAUUUUGGACAAUGGGGGAAACCCUGAUCCAGCAAUGCCGCGUGUGUGAAGAAGGCCUUCGGGUUGUAAAGCACUUUUGUCCGGAAAGAA
rnacentral:rRNA from 1 species